UUCUCCGAUCACUAACUAUCAAAAAACAGCUAAACAAAAUGGAAAGAAACAGAGAUAUAAAUUUGUUCAAAUAUUUACAUAUGCAUUCGUUAUAUACACUUAAAUUAAUUUUGUAUAAAUCUUGCUAUAAAUAUUUAAAUUAUCAUUAUAAAACUCACAGAGAUCAAACUUAUAUUGGAUUGAUGCACCAGAGAUAAAUACGUAAUUUGCACAUGGUACGUGUUGGCAGAAUAUCCCAAGGCACAAUUCCUUCAACGGCAUAAUUAUAAUGCGCGCUAGUUGUGACGAGGACAGGUGGCAGACAAAUAUAUGCCGUUGACAGACAAAAGCGGCAAACCCGCCCAAAAGACUAACGGCUUUAACUGCCCCGUUACUGUAUCCUUUCACAUCGCUCAGUCAGUUCUAGAUCUAUCCCUAAACGAAAGCGUUUCUUCCAGAUUUACAAUUUAGCUUAAUGAACAAUGAGUUAACACUAAAGUACACAUAAUUAAAUGGUGAUUUUUUAUUCAAUUAAGUUCUUCAAGUUUCGCUAGCCAUAAAUACUGUUAUGUAAGUCUAUUGGAGAGAGAAUUUUCUCGGAAACCAAACAGAAACAUAGUUUAAAAAAAGAACUGUCUGAGAUCAGAG
rnacentral:misc_RNA from 1 species